CUAAAUUCCAUAUUUCACGGAGGUAAAUUUGUGCCAAGAUUUUCAUGUGUGAAUAUAGGGAAUUCCAUAUUUCAUACAGGGGAACUACAUGCAUAUUUUCCUGUGAAUUAUACAGUUCCAUUAUUUCACACAGGAAAAUUUUGCCCACAUAUGUAUUUAUGACAUAGAGAGAAUUCUGUAUUAAUGUAUUAAAAUUACCCUUGGAUUCUAUUAUAAGAAAUACAGAAAAUUCCAUAUAUCAUGUGGGAAAACUGGCAUCCAGAUUAUCUUGUGUUAAACAUAGAGAAUUCCAUAUUCCAUGUAGGAAAAUCAGCACCAGAGUUUAAUACGUGAAAUAGGAGAAUUACGUAUUUCACAUCUGAAAGUCUGCACCCAGAUUAUCACAUACAAACUAUAGAAAAUUUGAUUAUUCAUACACAUAAAAUACUACAUAUUUUGAACAGGAAAUAUACUAGUGGUAAAGAAGCUGCCUACUAAUGCGGGAGAGACAAGAGAGGCGGGUUCAAUCCCGAGGAUGGAAAUAUCCUCUGGAAAGGGAAAUGACAAUCCACUCCAGUAUGCGUGCUUGGGAGAAUCCCUGUGGUCAGAUAGGCCCUGCAGGUUACUGUCCAUGGACUUGCAGAGAGUUGGACAGACAGAGCACACACAUGCACAUGCUAUAGUCAAUGAAUGAGUUAUAGAAAAUAGAAUACUUCACAUAAGAAAAUCAGCUUCCAGGUUUUCAUAUAUGAAGUAAUGAAAUUCAAUCUUAUGUAUAUGAAAAUACACCCAAACAUUCAUAUAUAAUAUUGUAUAUUUCAAAUUUUAUACAUGAAUGCUAGGCAAUUAAUGUAGGCAGCAUAACAAUGAUUUCUGGCACUUUGGGACAUCAAGAAGGAAGGAAAAAGUUGCCCACCUGGAAAUUAGUAACGCUGUACAUACAGCAAAUACCUUAGAAGGUCAUUUCUCUCCAAUUGUGCCAGUGUGUGCCACACUCAGGAAGGGAGGGUCCUGGCUGUUGGGCUGUUUCUAGGCAGCACUGGCCAAGGACAUUCACCUGUUUCCCUCGCAUGUGUGGAACAAGUCUCCAAUGCAGCAGGCUUUCUUUCUGGGCCUCCUCCUCCCAGUCUCUGCCUUUCUCCAAAGGAAAUUGGCCUCUUCACAAUCCCAGGUCCUGUCCUAGCCACAUCCUCCAUUCUACAAUCCAGCCCAUGUCCCACAGACUGAGGGGUCCAAAAGCAGUGGUUUUAAAAGCCCCACCCCACUUGACUUACUCCAGGUGACUCCUCAAACCCUUCAUACCCACUUCCUGGUAGAAACACAAAAACACAGCAGAAAUUGUGAAUUUGUUUAUGUCUCUUGAGGUAAUUUCGGAUUUCUGGAACCACCAUCCUGAAUUAUCACUGGCCGUCAUUUCUACAUUCAGGUCCUGAACAGGGACACCACGAAGAUACACUGUCCAGUCCCAUCUGGCCUGUGGGCACUUGUACCUCCUCUUCUGAUUUAUCCACAUCUCACAUGUGGUCACCUUCACCUCUGUACCUGCAGUGGGCUGGACACACACACACACAGAAACACACACAAGCACAGGUGACACAAACAUGCGUGUACACACAUAUAUGCGAGGCACAGGGACACAAAUGCAAACAGGGGAAGCAGGUGUCUCAGUAGCUGAGGACAGCUGUGUCCAACAGUUUAGGAGAUAGUCAGCAGGCACCACGUCCUGCCAUUUUGGGAUACCCCUCCCCACAGCUCUUCAGUAUUAUCCCCAACCAGCCUGAAGAUGUUUCCAGUGCUACCUGUGUGGGGAUGGUGAGAGGCCAAGCAGUGGAUAUAGAAAUUCAGAGAAGACCCCAAAGUCAGCACAAAAAUGCAAUGAAACACCAGAGAGAAAGCCCUACCAAAGAGGGGCUGGAAGGAAGAGCCAGGGGAUCUCAAUCUCAAUGAGCAGCAGAACGCCUGGGAGUGGCAAGCCCCAGGGAAGGAUGAUUCUGACAAAGGUGCUUAAUUCACCCUGCCUCUAUCAGAAUCACCUAGGACUCUCAUGCUGUAACCACAGCUGCUUUGAGUGAGACUUUGUUCACUCAUGCACACAUUAAGUCCCCAAGCCUCCAGUCUCAGCCUGUCACUUGCUACUUGCCUGACACAAAUCCAAGCUCCACAGCCAUCAUGCAUGAGCCUGAGCAUCCCCAUUUGUGAAAAGACAGUGUCCUGGCAUCUACAUAGCUGUCCCUUCAGGGCCCACCUCCUCAUAAUCCAUGUUUCUGUCAGUUACCUCUCAUGGCAUGGAUCUUCCCCCUGGGGUAGUACUGCAGGGGAUCGAACCACAGGACUUCACUGAUGAUUUACUGGCAACACAAGCGAGGUCAGCAUAGGGCUGACCAGACCCCAAACCCUUCUGUGAGCAGCCAAGAACUCCAUAGUCAAUCACCAAUUUGGAGGAGGCUCAGUGCGACCCCACCUCAGCAACGCUCAGUCAGCUGAUAGCCUUAUGGGAGUCCUCUGACAUAAUUCCUUUUCUCUUUCUCUUUAACUUUCCAUUUAAUUUUGAGGCGUCUUGGAUUGCAUCUAUGAUCAUCCUUAUGGGACCCUCUGCUCUUUCUCUACCUGGAUAUCUAAGUUUGUUUCCAUCUUCAGGCUUUGGGACUUUUCAGCCAUAAUUGUAUCUAUAUAUUAUCAACUGCUUUUUCUCUCUCCACCUCUCUGAAACCCCCAAUAUUGGAAUGUUUUUGCCCUUGAUGUUGCCCCAGAAAUCCCUUAAACUGUUCUUAAUUUUUAAAUUUGUUCAUACUUUUGUUGUUCUGAUUGGGCUUAUAUAGUUUUCUUUGUCUCAAAAGAGGUGUAAGAAAAUGCAUGGGUAAUAAUGUUUUUCUUCAGCUCUACACAUCCAACAAUAUGGAGUAGGAAAUGGCAACCCACUCCAAUUUUCCACCUGGAAAAUCUCAUGGACAGAGGAGCCUGGUGGUCUACACUUCAGGGGUUGCAAAGAUUUGACAAGACUGAGCAAACAUACACACUUCUAACCUAGGCAGACACACACAUGAAGGCGACAGAACCUGAGACGUGGAGCAGUUGGAAGAGGAGGCACAAGUCAUCCACAGACGAGGGGAGAAUGGUCCAUGCAUCUCCUCAGUGGCCCUGUCCAGGGCAGGAAUGAGGAAAGAAUGGCCGAUGACAACUCAAGACAGUGGGUCCACUAAUCUGGAAUGAUAUCAGGAGACAUAAACAAGCUCACUAUU